rnacentral:misc_RNA from 1 species
AAGUCGUAACAAGGUUUCCGUAGGUGAACCUGCGGAAGGAUCAUUAAUGAUUACUUCGUCCUGUGCUGGCCUCGCGCAUGUGCACGGACAAAUCUAAACCCCCUGUGCACUCUGCUUCGCCUUUGGUCGACUUUGUCGAUUCGGAAGGAUUUACACACACGAAUAGUAUAGAAAACCUACUUGUGCGAAAGCACUAAUGUACAACUUUCAACAACGGAUCUCUUGGCUCUC